AUUAGCAGCUGCACCAUAGUGCGAGUACCCAAUAGUGUCAGCUCUUGGAAGCUAAGCAGGGCUAUGCCUUGUUCGUACUUGGAUGGGCGACCAACUUGGAAGACCAGGGGCCUUUAUCC
rnacentral:rRNA from 12 species